rnacentral:lncRNA from 1 species
GGAACCUUGAGUACGGGGUUUUCUCAGUAAACUAAUGUGCAGGCACCAACUUACAGCAUUCUCCAUGAAUCCUAUUGCCUCCUGCAGGCCUAGUGAAGAAUGUCCUGCCAAAGAGUCACCCAGUUUCUACCAAGUGUCUCAUGUUCUCUCAGAAUGGCAUUAGAGGGAACAGAAGUGCAUCUUGACCCGUGUCUGUAUUCUGUGGAAAAUGAGAAGUCAGAGCACCAGGACCGUACGGGAGCUAGGGAGAAGUGUGUGUUUCAGCCUUGGCAGUGGAUUCUUUGGCAGUUGUGUGGCCCAGAGGGAACCAGACGCAGAGAAAAGUCAAGCCAGGUAUGUUGUGCCUGCCUGCACCUGCUUCUGAUGUACCCCACUGCCUGCAUCCAAGUCCUGUGCACUGGGCUAGAAUAAUGUGGAAAUGGCAGGUGUGCAUGGAGUAUCUGCCUGCCCAUCAGCUCUGUGAUAA